rnacentral:rRNA from 1 species
UACAGAGGUCUCAAGCGUUGUUCGGAUUCAUUGGGCGUAAAGGGUGUGUAGGUGGCGCGCUAAGUCGGGUGUGAAAUUCGGAGCUUAACUCCGAAACUGCAUUCGAUGACUGGCGUGCUUGAGGACUGGAGAGGAGACUGGAAUUUACGGUGUAGCAGUGAAAUGCGUAGAUAUCGUAAGGAAGACCAGUGGCGAAGGCGGGUCUCUGGACAGUUCCUGACACUGAGACACGAAGGCCAGGGGAGCAAACGGG